rnacentral:rRNA from 1 species
CGAGCGGUAUGGAUAGCUUGCUAUCCAGAGAGCGGCGUACGGGUGCGUAACACGUGUGCAACCUGCCUUUAUCUGGGGGAUAGCCUUUCGAAAGGAAGAUUAAUACCCCAUAAUAUGGUGUCCGGCAUCGGUCGCCAUUGAAAGCCUCGGCGGAUAGAGAUGGGCACGCGCAAGAUUAGAUAGUUGGCGGGGUAACGGCCCACCAAGUCGAUGAUCUUUAGGGGUCCUGAGAGGGAGAUCCCCCACACUGGUACUGAGACACGGACCAGACUCCUACGGGAGGCAGCAGUGAGGAAUAUUGGACAAUGGGUGGAAGCCUGAUCCAGCCAUCCCGCGUGAAGGAUGACGGUUCUAUGGAUUGUAAACUUCUUUUGUACAGGGAUAAACCUGCCCUCGUGAGGGCAGCUGAAGGUACUGUACGAAUAAGCACCGGCUAACUCCGUGCCAGCAGCCGCGGUAAUACGGAGGGUGCGAGCGUUAUCCGGAUUUAUUGGGUUUAAAGGGUCCGUAGGCGGGCCUGUAAGUCAGUGGUGAAAUCUCAUAGCUUAACUAUGAAACUGCCAUUGAUACUGCAGGCCUUGAGUAAAUUUGAAGUGGCUGGAAUAAGUAGUGUAGCGGUGAAAUGCAUAGAUAUUACUUAGAACACCGAUUGCGAAGGCAGGUCACUAAGAUUUAACUGACGCUGAUGGACGAAAGCGUGGGGAGCGAACAGGAUUAGAUACCCUGGUAGUCCACGCCGUAAACGAUGCUAACUCGUUUUUGGAUCUUCGGGUUCAGAGACCAAGCGAAAGUGAUAAGUUAGCCACCUGGGGAGUACGUCCGCAAGGAUGAAACUCAAAGGAAUUGACGGGGGCCCGCACAAGCGGUGGAUUAUGUGGUUUAAUUCGAUGAUACGCGAGGAACCUUACCAAGACUUAAAUGGGAAUUGACAGAUUUAGAAAUAGAUCCUCCUUCGGGCAAUUUUCAAGGUGCUGCAUGGUUGUCGUCAGCUCGUGCCGUGAGGUGUUAGGUUAAGUCCUGCAACGAGCGCAACCCCUGCCAACAGUUGCCAUCAUUCAGUUGGGGACUCUGUUGGGACUGCCUACGCAAGUAGAGAGGAAGGUGGGGAUGACGUCAAAUCAUCACGGCCCUUACGUCUUGGGCCACACACGUAAUACAAUGGCCGGUACAGAGGGCAGCUACCUGGUGACAGGAUGCGAAUCUCGAAAGCCGGUCUCAGUUCGGAUUGGAGUCUGCAACUCGACUCUAUGAAGCUGGAAUCGCUAGUAAUCGCGCAUCAGCCAUGGCGCGGUGAAUACGUUCCCGGGCCUUGUACACACCGCCCGUCAAGCCAUGGAAGUCUGGGGUACC